rnacentral:miRNA from 1 species
CAAGAGAUUUGUGGUUACUCACCG